rnacentral:lncRNA from 1 species
AAUUCCCAAUAUAAACCAGGCUGUCCUCAAAUGCUCAGAGACCUGCCCACCCUUGCCUCCAGUGUGCUAGGAUUAGAGUGCACUAUCAUAUCCAACAGAAUACCACUGUUUACACUAAUUAAUCUUAAUUAGUAAUUAAGAUAGAAAUUACAUUGGUGUCAGCCUCAGCCAUCCCUUUGGACCAGACUUUAAAAUUUUUCUUUUUGUUUUUGAGACUCUCAUGAAGUGCAGGUUGGCCUGCGACUCACUGCGUAGGUGAGGAUGACCUAGACUCCUGAUCCUCCUGCCUCCACCUGCAGAGGGCUUGGUUCAUGAGCUGUUUUAGUAAGGUGAGGCUUUAGGGUGAAGCUAAAGCACAAGGCUUUCAGGCUGUAGGCGUGUUUGGGAAGAUUUAUAGUUGGCCGAUUCUUCCCCACCUCUGUUCGUGUGUGUGUGUGUGUGUGUGUGUGUGUGUGUGUGUGUGUGUACGUGUGUGUACGUACACGUGUGUGUUAUAAAAAAAUGAAACCUGUGCUUUUUGACUAUUAAACUGCUUUAUAUACUUUUGUGUUUUCUGCAUUGAAACUAGACUGCUCUUAUCAGAUUUUUUUUAUGUGUACUAUAUGACAACAGUGUCUUAAUCUCUUGUCUGUACCUAGAGCAGAGUAGCUGAUAAUUUAUAAAGAGAAGAAGUUUCUUUAGCUCCUGGUUCUGGAGCUUGGCCAUUCAAGAUCAGGGGGGUUCUUUCUGAGAGACGUGUGCUGCAUCACCAUUUGGGGCAGUGAAAGGGAGUGUGGACAUGACUGAUAGAAAACACCUCAGGGUGGGGCUUGUUCGGUGACAACCUGCUCCACUGGUAACCGACCCAGCCCUGUGAGAACCGCAUUUGUCCCUCUUCAUGAACUAAGCCGUUUAGAGUCCCGCCUCCCAACACUGGCACAACAGCAACACAGUUUCAGUGUCAGUUUGGGAGACAAACUAACGACAGUGCACAGAUACAGAAAAGAGAAUAAAAGUGAUGGGUAGCUUAAUGAAAAUGAAUGUAAGUCAGAUUUCUGAUUACAACCUAUGUCAGGAACCAAAGCUCUGCUGGUGAGCCCAGAAGUCUCCCUUGUUCCCUGUCCCAGUCAUACCCACCCCUUAUGUACACCUGGAAGCACCUGCUGCCCUGGUCUGUAAUAAUUCAUCUUUGCUUUUUAUUAUGAUAUGUCAAAUAUGUAUGUGUGUUUGAACUUUAUAAUUCAGUUUUGUCAGUCUUUGAAAAUCAAUUUAAGACUUUAAAAAAAAAAUCUCAUUUUCCUCAGUGUUUGUUCCUCCUUUUCUGGGUUACUUAGUGAGAAAACUAGGUCAUUGUCCUGCAGUCUGGAUUUUGCUGCGUAUAGCCUAUACAUAGCCUUUCUUUAAAAACAAUUAAAAAUUAUUUUGCGUGUUUC